UACGUAGGGUGCGAGCGUUGUCCGGAAUUACUGGGUGUAAAGGGUGCGCGGGCGGAUUCGCACGUCGAAGGUUAAAGACCUUGGCUUAACCAAGGAGAUGCCCUCGAUACGGUGAGUCUUGAAUGUGAGAGAGGAUGGUAGAAUUCCUGGUGUAGCGGUGAAAUGCGUAGAUAUCAGGAGGAAUACCGGUGGCGAAGGCGGCCAUCUGGCUCAUUAUUGACGCUUAGGCACGAAAGCGUGGGGAGCGAACAGG
rnacentral:rRNA from 1 species